rnacentral:rRNA from 1 species
AACUAAUUCCCACACCACCUAAGAACCCUUAAACAAUAUUGAGCAAUUCUAUACUACUAUAGAAGAUUUUAUGUUAAAACUAGUAACAAGAAGAAGAACUUCUCAUACAAUGCAAGUGUAAAUCAGAUAGACACCCCACUGAUAGUUAACACCUGGAAUAAAAAAUAGCAACCUAACAAGAAAACCCUACUACCUAUGCGUUAAACUAACACCAGAGCAUUAAGAGAAAGGUUAAAGAAAGAGAAGGAACUCGGCAAAUAUUAACCUCGCCUGUUUACCAAAAACAUCGCCUCUGAAUAAAUAUAAGAGGUCCAGCCUGCCCAGUGACUCUGUUCAACGGCCGCGGUAUCCUAACCGUGCGAAGGUAGCGUAAUCACUUGUUCUUUAAAUGAGGACUAGUAUGAAUGGCACCACGAAGGUUAUACUGUCUCCUCUCUCUAAUCAGUGAAACUAAUCUCCCCGUGAAGAAGCGGGAAUAAACAUAUAAGACGAGAAGACCCUAUGGAGCUUUAAACUAUGUAACACUUGCACCACCACAACACAAAUUUCAGAAAAAUCUCUCCAACGCAUGCAAGCUUAUUACCAGUUUUAGGUUGGGGUGACCGCGGAGCAAAAAACAACCUCCACAUUGAAAGGAACUUACUCCUUAGCCAAGAGCCACACCUCCACGCACCAUUAUAAUGACAUUAAUUGACCCAAUAUUUUGAUCAACGAACCAAGUUACCCUAGGGAUAACAGCGCAAUCCAUUUCAAGAGCUCCUAUCGACAAAUGGGUUUACGACCUCGAUGUUGGAUCAGGGUAUCCCGGUGGUGCAGCCGCUACCAAA